rnacentral:rRNA from 1 species
CCUACGGGUGGCAGCAGUCGAGAAUCAUUCACAAUGGGGGAAACCCUGAUGGUGCGACGCCGCGUGGGGGAAUGAAGGUCUUCGGAUUGUAAACCCCUGUCAUGUGGGAGCAAAUUAAAAAGAUAGUACCACAAGAGGAAGAGACGGCUAACUCUGUGCCAGCAGCCGCGGUAAUACAGAGGUCUCAAGCGUUGUUCGGAAUCACUGGGCGUAAAGCGUGCGUAGGCUGUUUCGUAAGUCGUGUGUGAAAGGCGCGGGCUCAACCCGCGGACGGCACAUGAUCCUGCGAGACUAGAGUAAGGGAGGGGUAACCGGAAUUCUCGGUGUAGCAGUGAAAUGCGUAGAUAUCGAGAGGAACACUCGUGGCGAAGGCGGGUUCCUGGACAUUAACUGACGCUGAGGCACGAAGGCCAGGGGAGCGAAAGGGAUUAGAUACCCCAGUAGUC